rnacentral:rRNA from 1 species
UAGGGAAUCUUCGGCAAUGGACGAAAGUCUGACCGAGCAACGCCGCGUGAGUGAAGAAGGUUUUCGGAUCGUAAAACUCUGUUGUUAGAGAAGAACAAGGACGUUAGUAACUGAACGUCCCCUGACGGUAUCUAACCAGAAAGCCACGGCUAACUACGUGCCAGCAGCCGCGGUAAUACGUAGGUGGCAAGCGUUGUCCGGAUUUAUUGGGCGUAAAGCGAGCGCAGGCGGUUUCUUAAGUCUGAGGUGAAAGCCCCCGGCUCAACCGGGGAGGGUCAUUGGAAACUGGGAGACUUGAGUGCAGAAGAGGAGAGUGGAAUUCCAUGUGUAGCGGUGAAAUGAGUAGAUAUAUGGAGGAACACCAGUGGCGAAGGCGGCUCUCUGGUCUGUAACUGACGCUGAGGCUCGAAAGCGUGGGGAGCAAACAGG